AAGGAGUGCAGCAGAGGCGGGCAACGAUUCCUGCUGGAGGUAAGAAUCAUCGUCAUCAUCAUACCCAUUUUAAAGAUGGAGAAACCAAGACCUGGAAAUGUUCAGUAAUAGUCCCCAGCCAGAUCAUUUGUAAACCGGUGGAGCAGGACUUCAUACCUCAGCAACCUUCUACCAGAGUUCGGCACAGUGCUGUGCUACCUCUCAGAUCCAGAGGGUGCAUGCACAGGUUUGUUCCAUGCAUAUUACUGCACGAUGCUGAGGUUUGGAGUACAAAUGAUCGCGUGACCCAGGUAAUGAGAAUAUUGGCCAGUAAGUAGUUUUUCAGUCCAUGCCUCCUUCCCU
rnacentral:lncRNA from 1 species